rnacentral:lncRNA from 1 species
UGCAAGGUCCGCAAUACCACUCCACUAGUACUAAACAUAUAAACUAGUGUUGCGUAGUAUUGAAAGGAACGGAUAUGAACUCUUCGUUUUCAUAUGAUUAGAUUGAAAUAAAACUCGAUGCAAUUGGGCUCAUUUGGAAUAAUAUCAUCUCUUCUCAAUUUUACAUAGGAACUAGACUGAGCAACACAACCCACCGACAACCAGGAGUCUUCUACAGGGCUUCGGUAGGGGAAAUCGAUCUUGCUCCCCGUGUGGCAUCCAUCCUGGUGCUCAUUGUAUUUUUUGAUAACCUUUGUCUUUUCUAAUUCAUUGCGAUUGAAUGCAUACUGAUUCAC